AUGCUCGCUUCGGCAGCACAUAUACUAAAAUUGGAACGAUACAGAUAAGAUUAGCAUGGCCCCUGUGCAAGGAUGACAUGCAAAAAUCCACUGAAAAGAAGGGAAUGUUA